rnacentral:rRNA from 1 species
GUGCCAGCAGCCGCGGUAAUUCCAGUCUCCAAUAGCGUAUAUUAAAGUUGUUGUGGUUAAAAAGCUCGUAGUUGAACCUUGGGCCUGGCUGGCCGGUCCGCCUCACCGCGUGCACUGGUCCGGCCGGGCCUUUCCCUCUGUGGAACCCCAUACCCUUCACUGGGCGUGGCGGGGAAACAGGACAUUUACUUUGAAAAAAUUAGAGUGCUCCAGGCAGGCCUAUGCUCGAAUACAUUAGCAUGGAAUAAUAAAAUAGGACGCGCGGUUCUAUUUUGUUGGUUUAUAGGACCGCCGUAAUGAUUAAUAGGGACAGUCGGGGGCAUCAGUAUUCAACUGUCAGAGGUGAAAUUCUUGGAUCAGUUGAAGACUAACUACUGCGAAAGCAUUUGCCAAGGAUGUUUUCAUUAAUCAGGAACGAAAGUUAGGGGAUCGAAGACGAUCAGAUACCGUCGUAGUCUUAACCAUAAACUAUGCCGACUAGGGAUCGGACGGUGUUAUUCAUGACCCGUUCGGCACCUUACGAGAAAUCAAAGUGCUUGGGCUCCAGGGGGAGUAUGGUCGCAAGGCUGAAACUUAAAGAAAUUGACGGAAGGGCACCACCAGGGGUGGAGCCUGCGGCUUAAUUUGACUCAACACGGGGAAACUCACCAGGUCCAGACACAAUAAGGAUUGACAGAUUGAGAGCUCCUUCUUGAUUUUGUGGGUGGUGGUUGCAUGGCCGUUCUUAGUUGGUGGGGUGACUUGUCUGCUUAAUUGCGAUAACGAACGAGACCUUAACCUGCUAAAUAGCCCGCAUUGCUUCGGCAGUGCGCUGGCUUCUUAGAGGGACUUUCGGCUCAGCGAAGGAGUUUGAGGCAUUAACAGGUCUGUGAUGCCUUAGAUGUUCUGGCCGCACGCGCGCUUACACUUGACGGGUUCAGCGAGGUUCCUUGGCCGGAAAGGUCUG